AGUUUGAUCAUGGCUCAGAUUGAACGCUGGCGGAAUGCUUUACACAUGCAAGUCGAACGGCAGCACGGGGCAACCUGGUGGCGAGUGGCGAACGGGUGAGUAAUACAUCGGAACGUGCCCAAUCGUGGGGGAUAACGUAGCGAAAGUUACGCUAAUACCGCAUACGAUCUACGGAUGAAAGCGGGGGAUCGCAAGACCUCGCGCGAGUGGAGCGGCCGAUGUCAGAUUAGGUAGUUGGUGGGGUAAAGGCUCACCAAGCCAACGAUCUGUAGCUGGUCUGAGAGGACGACCAGCCACACUGGAACUGAGACACGGUCCAGACUCCUACGGGAGGCAGCAGUGGGGAAUUUUGGACAAUGGGCGCAAGCCUGAUCCAGCCAUUCCGCGUGCAGGAUGAAGGCUUCGGGUUGUAAACUGCUUUUGUACGGAACGAAACGGCGAGCUCUAAUACAGUUUGCUAAUGACGGUACCGUAAGAAUAAGCACCGGCUAACUACGUG
rnacentral:rRNA from 1 species